rnacentral:rRNA from 1 species
UACAGAGGGGGCAAGCGUUGUUCGGAAUUACUGGGCGUAAAGGGCGCGUAGGCGGCCUGCUAAGUCGAACGUGAAAUCCCUGGGCUCAACCCAGGAACUGCGUCCGAUACUGGUUGGCUUGAAUCCGGGAGAGGGAUGUGGAAUUCCAGGUGUAGCGGUGAAAUGCGUAGAUAUCGGAAGGAACAUCAGUGGCGAAAGCGGCUUCCUGGACCAGCACCGACGUUCAGGCACGAAAGCGUGGGGAGCAAACAGG